GACGAACGCUGGCGGCGUGCCUAAUACAUGCAAGUAGACCUGAGUUGCGAACGGGGGAGUAACGCGUCGGAACCUGCCUCAUAGCGGGGGAUAACUAUUGGAAACGAUAGCUAAUACCGCAUCCUGUGAGCUGGACCUGCGUGGGAUUAGCUAGUUGGUGAGGUAAAGGCCUACCAAGGCGACGAUCUGUAACUGGUCUGUGAGGAUGAUCAGUCACACUGGAACUGAGACACGGUCCAGACUCCUACGGGAGGCAGCAGUGGGGAAUAUUGGACAAUGGGCGAAAGCCUGAUCCAGCCAUGCCGCGUGUGUGAAGAAGGUCUUCGGAUUGUAAAGCACUUUAAGUUGGGAGGCGUUACCAACAGAAUAAGCACCGGCUAACUUCGUGCCAGCAGCCGCGGUAAUAC
rnacentral:rRNA from 1 species